GCUAAUACCGCAUAACGUCGCAAGACCAAAGAGGGGGACCUUAGGGCCUCUUGCCAUCGGCCCAGAUGGGAUUAGCUAGUAGGUGGGGUAACGGCUCACCUAGGCGACGGAUCCCUAGCUGGUCUGAGAGGAUGACCAGCCACACUGGAACUGAGACACGGUCCAGACUCCUACGGGAGGCAGCAGUGGGGAAUAUUGCACAAUGGGCGCAAGCCUGAUGCAGCCAUGCCGCGUGUAUGAAGAAGGCCUUCGGGUUGUAAAGUACUUUCAGCGGGGAGGAAGGGAGUAAAGUUAAUACCUUUGCUCAUUGACGUUACCCGCAGAAGAAGCACCGGCUAACUCCGUGCCAGCAGCUUCGCGGUAAUACGGAGGGUGCAAGCGUUAAUCGGAAUUACUGGGCGUAAAGCGCACGCAGGCGGUUUGUUAAGUCAGAUGUGAAAUCCCCGGGCUCAACCUGGGAACUGCAUCUGAUACUGGCAAGCUUGAGUCUCGUAGAGGGGGGUAGAAUUCCAGGUGUAGCGGUGAAAUGCGUAGACUGGAGGAAUACCGGUGGCGAAGGCGGCCCCCUGGACGAAGACUGACGCUCAGGUGCGAAAGCGUGGGGAGCAAACAGGAUUAGAUACCCUGGUAGUCCACGCCGUAAACGAUGUCGACUUGGAGGUUGUGCCCUUGAGGCGUGGCUUCCGGAGCUAACGCGUUAAGUCGACCGCCUGGGGAGUACGGCCGCAAGGUUAAAACUCAAAUGAAUUGACGGGGGCCCGCACAAGCGGUGGAGCAUGUGGUUUAAUUCGAUGCAACGCGAAGAACCUUACCUGGUCUUGACAUCCACGGAAGUUUUCAGAGAUGAGAAUGUGCCUUCGGGAACCGUGAGACAGGUGCUGCAUGGCUGUCGUCAGCUCGUGUUGUGAAAUGUUGGGUUAAGUCCCGCAACGCGCAACCCUUAUCCUUUGUUGCCAGCGGUCCGGCCGGGAACUCAAAGGAGACUGCCAGUGAUAAACUGGAGGAAGGUGGGGAUGACGUCAAGUCAUCAUGGCCCUUACGACCAGGGCUACAAACACGUGCUACAAUGGCGCAUACAAAGAGAAGCGACCUCGCGAGAGCAAGC
rnacentral:rRNA from 1 species